rnacentral:rRNA from 1 species
GACGAACGCUGGCGGCGUGCUUAACACAUGCAAGUCGAACGGUGAAGCGCCUUCCUUUUUGGUGGGUGUGGAUGAGUGGCGAACGGGUGAGUAACACGUUAGUAACCUGCCCCCUUCUUCUGGAUAACCGCAUGAAAGUGUGGCUAAUACGGGAUAUUCUGGGUCUGUCGCAUGAUGGGUCUGGGAAAGAUAUUGUUUCGGUGGGGGAUGGGCUCGCGGCCUAUCAGCUUGUUGGUGGGGUGAUGGCCUACCAAGGCGGUGACGGGUAGCCGGCCUGAGAGGGUGGACGGUCACACUGGGACUGAGACACGGCCCAGACUCCUACGGGAGGCAGCAGUGGGGAAUAUUGCACAAUGGGCGCAAGCCUGAUGCAGCGACGCCGCGUGAGGGAUGGAGGCCUGCGGGUUGUGAACCUCUUUCGCCAGUGAAGCAGGCCUGCCUGGUUUGUGGGUGGGUUGACGGUAGCUGGAGAAGAAGCGCCGGCUAACUACGUG